AGCUGGUGUGAGGGGGGUUACUGCAUCAACUACUCCCAAGGUUACAGGGUCAACUUUGCUCUCUUACUCCUUCCUCGCCAUUGCACUUGACUAGUCUAGA
rnacentral:sRNA from 1 species